rnacentral:rRNA from 1 species
AGGGUUUGAUCAUGGCUCAGAACGUACGCUGGCGGCACGCCUAACACAUGCAAGUCGAACGAAGUAGCAAUACUUAGUGGCAGACGGGUGAGUAACAUGUAGGUAUCUGCCCUUUGGCCUGGAAUAACACGAGGAAACUUGUGCUAAUACCGGAUAAGUCUUUACGGAGAAAGCUUUAUGCACCAUUGGAUGAGCCUGCACUUGAUUAGUUUGUUGGUGGGGUAAUGGCCUACCAAGACUGUGAUCAAUAGCUGAUUUGAGAGGAUGAUCAGCCACAUUGGGACUGAGACACGGCCCAAACUCCUACGGGAGGCAGCAGUGGGGAAUCUUGCACAAUGGAGGAAACUCUGAUGCAGCGAUGCCGCGUGAGUGAAGAAGGCCCUUGGGUUGUAAAGCUCUUUCGUCGGGGAAGAAAAUGACUGUACCCGGAUAAGAAGGUCCGGCUAACUUCGUGCCAGCCGCCGCGGUAAUAC